rnacentral:tRNA from 1 species
GCCUGGAUGGCUCAGUCGGUUGAGCAUCUGACUUUAGCUCAGGUCAUGAUCUCGCGGUCCGUGAGUUCGAGCCCCGCAUGAGGCU